rnacentral:rRNA from 1 species
GAUGAACGCUGGCGGCGUGCCUAAUACAUGCAAGUCGAGCGAACGGACGAGAAGCUUGCUUCUCUGAUGUUAGCGGCGGACGGGUGAGUAACACGUGGAUAACCUACCUAUAAGACUGGGAUAACUUCGGGAAACCGGAGCUAAUACCGGAUAAUAUUUUGAACCGCAUUGUUCAAAAGUGAAAGACGGUCUUGCUGUCACUUAUAGAUGGAUCCGCGCUGCAUUAUCUAGUUGGUAAGGUAACGGCUUACCAAGGCAACGAUGCAUAUCCGACCUGAAAGGGAGAUCGGCCACACUGGAACAGCGACACGGUGCAGACUCCUACGGGAGGCAGCAGUAGGGUAUCUUCCACAAUGGGCGAAAGCGUGACGGAGCAACGCCGCGUGAGUGAUGAAGGUCUUCGGAUCGUAAAACUCUGUUAUUAGGGAAGAACAUAUGUGUAAGUAACUGUGCACAGCUUGACGGUACCUAAUCAGAAAGCCACGGCUAACUACGUG